CGCACCAGUUUGCCCAAGGCCUGACGAGCCAUACCGCGUGAGGGAGGAAGGCUCUUGGGUCGUAAACCUCUUUUCUCAAGGAAGAAGAAAGUGACGGUACUUGAGGAAUAAGCAUCGGCUAACUCCGUGCCAGCAGCCGCGGUAAUACGGAGGAUGCAAGCGUUAUCCGGAAUGAUUGGGCGUAAAGGGUCUGCAGGUGGAACUGAAAGUCUGCUGUUAAAGAGUUUGGCUUAACCAAAUAAAAGCGGUGGAAACUACAGAACUAGAGUGCGGUAGGGGCAAAAGGAAUUCCUGGUGUAGCGGUGAAAUGCGUAGAUAUCAGGAAGAACACCGGUGGCGAAAGCGUUUUGCUAGACCGUAACUGACACUGAGGGACGAAAGCUAGGGGAGCGAAUGGGAUUAGAUACCCCAGUAGUCCUAGCCGUAAACGAUGGAUACUAGGCGUGGCUUGUAUCGACCCGAGCCGUGCCGGAGCUAACGCGUUAAGUAUCCCGCCUGGGGAGUACGCACGCAAGUGUGAAACUCAAAGGAAUUGACGGGGGCCCGCACAAGCGGUGGAGUAUGUGGUUUAAUUCGAUGCAACGCGAAGAACCUUACCAAGGCUUGACAUCCUGCGAAUCCUGGUGAAAGCUGGGAGUGCCUUAGGGAGCGCAGAGACAGGUGGUGCAUGGCUGUCGUCAGCUCGUGUCGUGAGAUGUUGGGUUAAGUCCCGCAACGAGCGCAACCCUCGUUUUUAGUUGCCAGCAUUAAGUUGGGCACUCUAGAGAGACUGCCGGUGACAAACCGGAGGAAGGUGAGGAUGACGUCAAGUCAGCAUGCCCCUUUACGUCUUUGGGCUACACACGUUACUUACAAUUGCCUACCGGA
rnacentral:rRNA from 1 species